CUUGUGUCUUUUCUAUAUUGUUGUGCAAUCUGCUAGUUUUCCAGUAUAUGGCAAUUAUAAUAUUGUAUAGUUAGGUAUUAGCAUGAGGAAUUCAGCUGACAAUCGGUUGAUUAAGGUGAAAAAGUUUUAGCAAGCACAAAGUUGCAGCUCUUCAAUGGAGAUUAUUAAUUUAGAAAUGCCAAAAGAUAGAUUUGCUAGAUAUAUGUAUAAUUGUUCAGUUAUAUUCAUUGUAAAACAGAUUUCUUUUUGGGCGGCAAUUGAUUUUAU
rnacentral:sRNA from 1 species